CCUACGGGCGGCAGCAGUAGGGAAUCUUUCACAAUGGGCGAAAGCCUGAUGGAGCAACGCCGCGUGCAGGAUGAAGGCCUUCGGGUUGGAAACUGCUUUUAUAAGCGAGAAAUAUGAUGGUAACUUAUGAAUAAGGAUCGGCUAACUACGUGCAAGCAGCCGCGGUCAUACGUAGGAGCCGAGCAUUAUCCGGAGUGCCUGGGGGUAAAGAGUUGCGUAGGUGGCAUAAUAAGUAGCUAGUGAAAUCUGGGGGCUCAACCAUUCAGACUAUUAGCUAAACUGUUAAGCUCGAGACCGUUAGGGGUAACUGGAAUUUCUAGUGUAGGAGUGAAAUCCGUAGAUAUUAGAAGGAACACCAAUAGCGUAGGCAGGUUACUGGGACGGUUCUGACACUAAGGCACGAAAGCGUAGGGAGCAAACGGGAUUAGAUACCCCAGUAGUC
rnacentral:rRNA from 1 species